GGGGAUUUAGCUCAGCGGCAUAAGUACCUGCCUUGCAAGCAGGCGGUCGUGAGUUCGAUUCCCAGUACCGA
rnacentral:tRNA from 1 species